AGGGGCUCAUGAAGAACAGAAAUCUCCAGUAGAACAAAAGGGUAAAAGUCCCCUUGACUUUGAUCUUCAGUGUGAAUACAACCGCCGUGUGUU
rfam:Trichoderma atroviride IMI 206040 TRIATcontig_26, whole genome shotgun sequence.